UGUCUAGUUCCCAGACCCCAUCUCAAUGAGAUGAGGUCUGACGUUAGCCAGGCUAGUGCUAUACAAUCUUGGAAAAAGAACAGGAGAUGAGCUGCCAGAGGAGAAUGAGGACCCCCGUGAGGAUGAGGAGGUUGAAGAUGUGCAAGCAGGCCUACAAAAUGCUGCAAAUGUCAAUGGAAGUGCUGUGAGGAGAACACUGAUUGAAACCCACUUUGUAGCCUAAUCAAGGGAGGAACUGAUGGGACUUCCAUCUUGCAAUGCAAUAUUUAUUAAACAAUAUAUUAAUGAAACAACAAUAAACAAACAUUUAACAAAUAUUU